GAUGAACGCUAGCUACAGGCUUAACACAUGCAAGUCGAGGGGCAGCAUGAACAUAGCUUGCUAUGUUUGAUGGCGACCGGCGCACGGGUGCGUAACACGUAUCCAAUCUGCCCGUCACUCGGGGAUAGCCUUCUGAAAGGAAGAUUAAUACCCGAUGGCAUGCAUUUCCGGCAUCGGAGAUGCAUUAAAGAUUUAUCGGUGACGGAUGAGGAUGCGUACGAUUAGCUGGUUGGCGGGGUAACGGCCCACCAAGGCUACGAUCGUUAGGGGUUCUGAGAGGAAGGUCCCCCACACUGGAACUGAGACACGGUCCAGACUCCUACGGGAGGCAGCAGUGAGGAAUAUUGGUCAAUGGGCGAGAGCCUGAACCAGCCAAGUAGCGUGAAGGAUGACUGCCCUACGGGUUGUAAACUUCUUUUGUUUGGGAAUAAAAGACGCUACGCGUAGCGUUCUGCAUGUACCUUACGAAUAAGCAUCGGCUAAUU
rnacentral:rRNA from 1 species